UACGUAGGGUGCAAGCGUUGUCCGGAAUUAUUGGGCGUAAAGAGCUCGUAGGCGGUUCGUCACGUCGGCUGUGAAAUCCCGAGGCUCAACCUCGGGUCUGCAGUCGAUACGGGCGGACUUGAGUACUGCAGGGGAGACUGGAAUUCCUGGUGUAGCGGUGAAAUGCGCAGAUAUCAGGAGGAACACCGGUGGCGAAGGCGGGUCUCUGGGCAGUAACUGACGCUGAGGAGCGAAAGCGUGGGGAGCGAACGGG
rnacentral:rRNA from 1 species